UGCCCCGCAAGCCAGGGAGCGGUGCCAUUGCUCCAGGAAGUCGCCUGGCCUGAGACUUUCCUAAAUUCUACCCAGACUCAGCGCCCAGAGCCUGGGAUCCUGUGAAUAAAAUGGCGCAGACGUGCUUGUGCGGCUUUCCUGCUGGAGUCCAUGAGCGUCUCGAGGAUUUGGGCAUGUGUGUUCAUGUCAUGUCACAAUCUGUUCAGAGUACUGUCAUCAGCAACAGAGCAUGGCUCAGCACGCGGGCAAAACUGCACCAACCACGAUGCAUGGACACAGCACCCAUCUAGCCCUGACCUGGUGGUUUGUUUGUGUCCCCUUGCUCUGCCCUACCCAAGGAGGAUGGGGGGUUCAGUGUGUAAAAAAAUAA
rnacentral:lncRNA from 1 species